rnacentral:pre_miRNA from 1 species
AGAGGGAUUGCUGGGUCAAAUGGUGGUUUAAUACCCAGAUUUCCAAGGAAUCUUCACACUGCUUUCCAAAUUGGCUGCACCAGUUUGCAGUCCCACCAGUAAU